rnacentral:rRNA from 1 species
UACAGAGGUCUCAAGCGUUGUUCGGAUUCAUUGGGCGUAAAGGGUGCGUAGGUGGUGGGGUAAGUCGGAUGUGAAAUCCCGGGGCUCAACCCCGGAACUGCAUUCGAAACUGCCUUGCUCGAGUAAUGGAGAGGAGACUGGAAUUUACGGUGUAGCAGUGAAAUGCGUAGAUAUCGUAAGGAAGACCAGUGGCGAAGGCGAGUCUCUGGACAGUUACUGACACUGAGGCACGAAGGCCAGGGGAGCAAACGGG